GACGAACGCUGGCGGCGUGCUUAACACAUGCAAGUCGAACGGAAAGGCCCUGCUUUUGUGGGGUGCUCGAGUGGCGAACGGGUGAGUAACACGUGAGUAACCUGCCCUUGACUUUGGGAUAACUUUAGGAAACUGGGGCUAAUACCGGAUAGGAGCUCCUGCUGCAUGGUGGGGGUUGGAAAGUUUCGGCGGUUGGGGAUGGACUCGCGGCUUAUCAACUUGUUGGUGGGGUAGUGGCUUACCAAGGCUUUGACGGGUAGCCGGCCUGAGAGGGUGACCGGCCACAUUGGGACUGAGAUACGGCCCAGACUCCUACGGGAGGCAGCAGUGGGGAAUAUUGCACAAUGGGCGGAAGCCAGAUGCAGCAACGCCGCGUGCGGGAUGACGGCCUUCGGGUUUUAAACCGCUUUCGCCUGUUACGAAGCGUGAGUGACGGUAAUGGGUAAAAAAGCACCAGCUAACUACGUG
rnacentral:rRNA from 1 species